GAUUUCAACUAAAAAAGUCAUCAAUAACAAAGUGGUAUAACUCAUCAAGAUCUAUAACUUUUAUUUGGGUCAUUUUUUCAUCCGACAAAGCAAAUUGUAACAUUGUUCACAAAAUGUACAUAUCUCUUAUAUUGUUUAUAAAUUAUGAGAGAGAUAUGUAAAUUUUGUAAAUAAUAUUACUAUUACUUUGUCGGAUGAAGAAAUGACCAAAAUAAAAGUUAUAGAUAUUGAUGAUUUAUACAACUUUGUUAUUGAUGACUUUUUCAGUUGAAAUC
rnacentral:pre_miRNA from 1 species